UGGGGAAUCUUGGACAAUGGGCGCAAGCCUGAUCCAGCCAUGCCGCGUGAGCGAUGAAGGCCUUAGGGUUGUAAAGCUCUUUCACCGGUGAAGAUAAUGACGGUAGCCGGAGAAGAAGCCCCGGCUAACUCCGUGCCAGCAGCCGCGGUAAUACGGAGGGGGCUAGCGUUGUUCGGAAUUACUGGGCGUAAAGCGCGCGUAGGCGGACUGAUCAGUCAGGGGUGAAAUCCCGGGGCUCAACCCCGGAACUGCCUUUGAUACUGUCAGUCUUGAGUCCGGAAGAGGCGAGUGGAAUACCGAGUGUAGAGGUGAAAUUCGUAGAUAUUCGGUGGAACACCAGUGGCGAAGGCGACUCGCUGGUCCGGUACUGACGCUGAGGCGCGAAAAGCGUGGGGAGCAAACAGGAUUAGAUACCCUGGUAGUCCACGCCGUAAACGAUGUCUGCUAGUCGUUGGGGGGCGUAGCCCUUCAGUGACGCCGCUAACGCAUUAAGC
rnacentral:rRNA from 1 species